CAUAGCGACUAUCGUGGCAUAUCAAUAAGCGGAGGAAAAGAAACUAACAAGGAUUCCCCUAGUAACGGCGAGUGAAGCGGGAAGAGCUCAAAUUUGAAAUUUUAAGGUUUUCCCUUGACGAAUUGUAGUUUAAAGAAGUGUUUUCUGUUGGAGUUUCGGUAAAAGUUCUUUGGAAUAGGACAUCAUAGAGGGUGAGAAUCCCGUAUUUGACCAUUACUUUCCAGCUGUGUGAUACACUUUCAAAGAGUCGGAUUGUUUGGGAAUGCAGUCCAAAAUGGGUGGUAAAUUUCAUCUAAAGCUAAAUAUUGGCGAGAGACCGAUAGCGAACAAGUACCGUGAGGGAAAGAUGAAAAGAACUUUGAAAAGAGAGUUAAACAGUACGUGAAAUUGUCAAAAGGGAAGCGUUUGACACCAGUGUUGUUUAGUUGAAAAUCAAUUCAAUAAUUUUUGAUUUUGAGUAGUAUUGACUUCAUCAGCUUGCUGCUUUCUUUUCGGAAAUUAUUGAAUGCACUUUUCAGUUAACAAGUCAACAUCAAUUUCCUUUGCUGUAAAAAGGUAAGAGGAAGGUGGCUUACGCUUCGGCGUAAGUGUUUAUAGCCUUUUACCUCUGCAAUCGGAGAGAUUGAGGACAGCAGCGUAGACUCUUCGGGGUUAGAUACACUUGUGCUAAGCUAUAGCCUUGUAUAGACAACUUGUUGACUAUGCUCAGUCAUGUAGCUUACUCGCUUGUGCUAUUUUACCUACGCUUAGGAUGUUGAAGAUAUGCGCGACACG
rnacentral:rRNA from 1 species